UACGUAGGGGGCAAGCGUUGGCCGGAAUCAUUGGGCGUAAAGAGCGUGUAGGCGGCUUGGUAAGUCCGCUGUGAAAGUCCAGGGCUCAACCCUGGAAUGCCGGUGGAAACUGUCAAGCUUGAGUCCGGAAGAGGCGAGUGGAAUUCCUGGUGUAGCGGUGAAAUGCGCAGAUAUCAGGAGGAACACCGGUGGCGAAGGCGGGUCUCGUGGGCCGAUACUGACGCUGAGGAGCGAAAGCGUGGGGAGCGAACAGG
rnacentral:rRNA from 1 species